rnacentral:lncRNA from 1 species
AUGUGUCCACGCCAAAUCAUCUUCCUGUCUUAUCUUCUUCUAAUUUCCAGUAAGGAACUUGGACUGCUUAUAAAGUUACAAGUACCAACAAAUUAAAAUUGAGUGCAGCAAUUGGAGUUUGCAAGCCAGCGAUCAGACUAGUAUUCACUGUGUGGGUGAGCUCAGAAGACAGACUUGUCCACCUUGUCCCCAUAUUGUCGCAGCUACAUGCACAGAGCUGGGUUAUAGGGGACCUCCGAUUGGGCCUUUGCCUCCUAAUUCAGGACUUCUGAUGGGCUAAAAUGAGCCUAAGUUUAGUUAGGAAGGGCGUCCCUGGACAGUGAUGGUUCAGUACUUGAACAAAAACUUCGAUUAAGAACCACUCGGGGGAUAUUAUAACCCAUCGUUUCCGAUCAAAUUA